UGAGGACACCCGUGCGGCGGACGCGCUCGCGCUGUGAGGCAGGCCGGGAGGUGAGCUGGGUGCGCCACGCUCCGUGCGAGACGUGGGCAUGUCCAGUACCUCCUUCCCUCUCCUCACGCGGACCAACUAUCCCAGUUGGUCCGUCCUGAUGAAAGUCAUCAUGGAGGCGCGGCAUAUGUGGGAAGCCGUGGAAACCGGCAAUGUCGAGUACGAGGAGGACCGGCUGGCGAUGGAGGCGAUCUUGCGCUCCGUCCUAGAGGAGAUGGUGCUCACCCUUGGCGCAAGGAGACGGCCAAGGAAGCAUGGGACACCAUCAAGACUCUGCGCAUCGGCGUGGAGCGCGUACGGGAGUCGAAGGCCCAGACCUUGCGCCUCCAGUACGAGGAGAUCCGGUUCAAGGCCGGUGAACAAGUCGACGACUUCGCCUUGCGGCUGCAAGGUCUCGUCAACGAGCUCGUAACGCUCGGAGAUCACAUCGACAACAAGAUGGUGAUUCUCAAGUUCCUCCGCGUCGUCCCCAGGCAGUACAAGCAACUAGCCUGGUCCAUCGAGAGUUUGGUGGAUCUCUCCACCAUGACGAUCGAGGAGCUAGUAGGGCGGCUGAAGGUCGUCGAGGAGCGCGGCGAUGAAGCCGACAACCGUGCUGGCGACAUGCUGGCAACGAACUACUGCUCACCAGGGAGCAGUGGGAGGCGCAACUUCAGCAGCGCGGCCGCGACGGCUCUUCCGGCAGUGGGGGAGGCGCCCCCACGGGAAGCAGAGGUCGCGGCAGAGGCGGUGGCCGCGCCCAGAGCGGUGGCGGCAACCGCGGGCGCAAUCCAAUCCAGGCAGGGCGAGGCAGUACAACAGGAACCCCCCUAUAGCAACACAUUUUUCCGUAUCUAGAAGACCAUAUAUGCGUUGUUAGUGUCUUUACCAACGGUUUAGGAUGCGUUGCCUUAUCCGGCGUUGCUAGCGCAUAAUGCAACGCUUAUAGGCCCUGUUUGGUUCGGCUGUGGAUUUCUAAAAGCAGCUGUGAAAAAUCUGUUGUGAAAAAGCAGCUGUGGAAAAUCUGAUGUGAAAAAGAUGUAGGUCAUUUGUCAAACAGCUGAUACAACUUUUUCAGAUUUUGGCCCGCAGCGGAAUCAGAUUUUGAAAAGCACGUCCUGGGCUGCUUCCGCUUUUGGUUCAGAUUUUGGCAGCGGAUUUCUGAAAUUGGAUUCUGCUGGAUUCGCUGUUUGGUUCAGAUUCUGCUGCGCGGCAGCGGAAUCCGUCGAUAAAAGCUGAACCAAACAGGGCCAUAUUAUCGUUGGUAAAAGAGACCGUUGCAAGAGUACAACACAUAAAACAGACUUGUCCAACACUUCUAUGUGUUGGAGGGCUUGGCAACAAAGAAUACUUGUCCAACACUUCUAUGUGUUGGAGGGCUUGGCAACAAAGAAUUUGCAACGCGGUUCAUAUAUAAUGUGAAUAAUAUUUUUUUAUACAUAUUGCCAACAAUUAAAUUAGUGAUUUACAUAAUUGUGAUAAUUAUGAAUUUCCAGUAAAGACAAACAAGAGAAUAUACUCACAAGAGGAAGAAAUCAUAUAUUAAAUAAAACUGUUGGAUUACAAUAGUGCAUAUUACACAAGAAAAAUCAUCCACAUGGGAAGUAUAAUCUAAAUGUUUCUUGACGGCAAAACUUAAAUUGAAAGCAUCCCUACAACGUAACUAAAACACAAUCGAGGAACAUCAUCCAACAGGAACAUCAUCCCUACAACUUAACUAAAAUUGAAACCAUCCAUCUUCAUCAUCAUGAACAUGAACAUCAUCAUCAUCCUUGUAGUAUACUUGCCACACACACCAAUAGAAUCAUCCAUUUAUCUUUUGAAUCUACAAACAAAAAAACAAAAUGAACUGUUAACACACAAUGCAUUGACAUGAUGCAAGUAGUCAUAGAGGGAGGAUAUUACUCACUUACAGAGGUUGAGAUGCAAAAACAAAUCUACAUUACCAAGAGUAUUGCAGUUUUUGCGACUCUGUACCCAAUCUUCAAUUUUCACAAGUGCCAUAUCAACAUGCACUACCCAGAAUUCAUUAGUAAUUUCAGCACCAUCAAGUUCAAAUUUAGGAUCACAACUUACAACUGUAGCAAGAGCUACAUGUGUUAUGAUUUUUUAGGCUCAUUAAAAAUACUUUUGUUCCUACCUGUUAGAGAAAAUCAAAGUUACCAUUGGCAGAAUCAUGUCAAGCAAAAUAAUUAAUAGAAACGCGACAUAUAACAGAAAAGGUUGAGAGGCCAAGACAUGUCGUGCUUGCAUCUUCCCCUCUACUAUAUGGUUAUGAAUACAUCUACAGGUUAAUCUCAUGAUGUGCAACAUCUAUGAAAUUCUAUGAAGCCUUUCACUACAAACAAAGUAGUUUUGGUGAUGGACGCUGAAAAUAAUUAAACUUCAUAUGAUAGCUUCAGUGUAGAACACAAAGAUAGACAUUUUUAUUCGAGUAGCAGUAUGGUAUGAUCAACUGCAUAAUUCUGAGGCACCUACCGGAAGAUACUGAAGCAGAAUGUUUGGCCAUUAAUCAAGUAAAAACAUAUUACUAUAUCAAUACCUGGGACAUAUUAAGCCAAAAGAUAAAUUAAAUUUACCAAAUUAGUGCAAAUAAAACAUAUUAGACAAUAAAAAGAAGCUUUGAAGCAUAAGAUCUAUCAUAAAUGGAGUACUCCCAGUACCGACCCAAUGAUUUUGCAUGAAGUGCAGCAUGGACAGCAGGGCGGAUCAACCAUUAGUUCAUCUUUACCACCAACUCCUAAUAAAAUAGCUAGUAUAUAUCCAGAUCAAACUCUAAAUAGCACAUCUGAGCAGAUAAAUCAAAGGCAGUGACACUAUUAAGAAAAGGAGAAGACACGGCAGAGAAAACAAGACUGUAGUAUGUUCGAACAAAUAAUUAGGAUGUCUUGUUUGUAGACUACAAAUACAAAUCAGAUAUAGAUACGGCGAUCUAUUUAGUUGGAAGUUGCAGGCAUCCAAAAAAUAAUAUUGAAUGUGGUCUAAUAAUUGAACGACACUACAGAUGGACCAUGCCAAUUAAAGUUAUAUAGAAACAAUUGACAUUAUUUUUCUUUUUCUUUUUGCAAUCCAUCAGUACAUGACCUCAUGAUGAAUCAGAAACAUGGAAGUAUUUAUAAAGUUGCCAUAUGCUACAAUUUUACUUCUCUUUUCCUCAUGGUGUGUAUUCUUCCUUGUAAAGGAAAAGCACAUCAAGAGAAUAAAGGAGUGACACUACGGAUGUAGGCAAGCAUGGUAUAAAGCGGAAGCACGAACCACAAAAGAAGUGUCUAGAAUUUGGCAAACCAGCAGACAGAACCGUGUAGGUAUAUGUUGUUAAUAAUAGGAGAAGGGGUCAUCAAUCAAAUUCCAAUAGCCAAGUGAAUAAAUGGAAAACAUCCAUGGUUUUCUAUUCCUGGAACACAAUCUAGUUCAGCUAUCAUUAAAAAAUACAGAAGUCAGAUAAGUUGUAAUAGGUGUGGAAUUUUAUCUAACAUGUCACUUGACUAAAUAAGUACUACUCGUCUCAGCAUAGUUUUAUAAGAUUUGUUUCUCUUCUACUGUAUUUAGGGGUUACACAGUAAACAAUUUAUGUUCAUAAAUCAUAUGUAAAUCGCAAGAUCUGCUUGCAUAAAAAAAUUGAUAUGACACGCAGCUCACAUAAGCAUCUUUUAAAUGGCAAGCAUAGCUCGUUGUAGAUGUACUCAGUAAUAUUUUUCAGAGUUUUGUGACAAGCAACAGUAAUUGAUCAACAGAUUACCUUCCUUACGCUCUUGAACUCCAACUAUAGUGGGGAGAAAGCCUUAUGCGGCUGAGUGUUAAUGUCACUAGAUGCUGAUGGAUGAUCAUGCGGAGAACUGUGGAUCAGAAGCCCUCAGAUCCAACAAGUACUCGGCUUUGCCAUGCUCUGCACCGAUGUCCUUCUCCCCCAGCGUCCCAGCGGCCUAGUUGACCGAGCUGCAUAAAGCUGUCAAGUUGCUCCUCAGUUGUAGUAGCAGAGAACACAGAGAUCUAAAUGGUCUUUUGAGCGAAUGAAAUAUGUAAACAAAUUACUGAAUUGUGACUCAAAUAAAAGAGAGGGAGAAAGUUUUGGGGUCAUGUCCAUUGCAACAUAUCCAGUGCUUGAGUGCCAUUGCAUUUCUCUGCACCGAGUGGAGGUAACCUGCUUUGAAGUCUCGGAAACAAAUAUGACCAUAUGACGGUGUGAAUGAUCAGGCCUACAACAUAAGCAAGUGGCACCGUAAGCAGAAAGUGAAACAUUGAAUAAUCAACAUCAACCACGAGAAUAAGACAACAAGCCCUAUUAUACAAUCAGUCAAUCACAUAAUCAACAACAGGAACCAACGACUGCACAAUCAAGUUCACUUCCAUGGACUGGUGACAACCUCCUAAGCCACAACUAGAAUCAAUUCAAUCACAGAAAGAGGAUUUAGCUGGAAGCUCCCCUCCACACCAACCAGCUGUAAUUCAGUCUGUCGUUCAUUAUCAGGGAUUGGCAAGUCGUAAGUACCAAUCCCCAACUAGAUUGAAGUGAAACAGAGCAUGAUGGGGCCAACAAAAUUGGGACAAGAGAAGCGGCCCGGCUCACCGCGGCAGGCGCGAUCGCGAGGGUGGUUGUAGCUGCAGCUCUUCCCGUAGCCGCAGGCCCCCGUGCGGAGGUAGUAGACGCAGUUGGUCGCAGGGGAGCGAUGACGAGGGGCGGCGCGCCGGGAUGCAGGGUAUCAGGGGAGUGGUGACGAGCGACGGUGCGCCGGGAUGGAGGGUCGCAGGAGAGUGGUGACUGGUGAGGGGCGGCGUGCCGGGACGGAGGAUCUCAGGCGAGCGGUGAGGAGCGCGCUCCGGGAUGCAGGGUAGGUCGAGGGGAGGCGGCCGGCGAGGGGGCCUAUAGGCUCGAGAGGAAUAAGGGAUGCUGGGGACAGGGAACGAUCUAGGUUAAUCAUGACAACCAGCUUGGGCCGGGCUAGAGAUAUGUGUUGGGCUUUUGUUCGAGUUUGGCCGGUCACACAAUAGGUCAUGAGCUGCAAGCCUGCAACAGAUAUGGUACAAUGCUUGUAUGCGUAUCUUUUUCGAUAAAAGGCGCUUUUAUUAUCUCAAAAUGUAGCAUCAAAGUGAUACAAAGCAUUAAGAGUAUCACCCGACCUCUGCAUAACUAAGAUGCACACAGCCAAACACCAGUAGUCUGAUAAACAGAAAGAUAAAAGACCGACAAUUCGGCAACAGUAGAGUCCAUAGACCGACACUAUGCCUAUGUCGAAAAAGAUGAUGGACCGAGCCGGAGAUUAUGCUGCCAUCCAUGUUGGGUAAAACCUCUGUAGCCACCUGCUCCAACAGCGUACACACCGCCUUGAAUAGCGGUUGGUACUCCGCUCGUUGUAGCGUACACCACGUACGAAGCGAGUGCGUACAACGGAAAAUAACCUGCAAAGGAGAAACAGUUUUGUCAAUUAAAACAACAUCAUUUCUACAUAGCCAAAGCGACCAUAGUAAGGCAUACGCUCCCACCCUUAUUAGUGUUUUGUAUGCAUUUGAAAUACCGUCCAGUCAAUGACCAAAAAUAUUGGCAACACUUGUGGGCGGAUACAAAUUUGACACUAUUUGGAUGGCUGACCACGUAGAACACGCAAACUUACAGUGAAAAAAGAGGUGUUUAAUUGUCUCGUCAUGAGUACAAAAACAACACUUCUUACUUCCCGACCAGUUGCGUCGUGCAAGGUUGUCUUUUGUUAGCACAACUCCCCUACGGAGAUACCACAUGAAUAUUUUAACUUUAAGUGGUACCUUCGCUUUCCAAAUUUUUUGGUUAUUACUCACCGGUACCUCAGAAUGCGUGAGUGCACGAUACAUAGAGUCUACUGUGAAAAACCCUGAUGUAGUAAGGUUCCAACGAAACACAUCACGACCUUGUGUCAGGAUAAUCGAAUCUAGACGGGACAAUAGAUUAUUCCAUGACAUAAGUCGGGUGCCAAUCAAAUCCCGCCUGAACGAAAUAUUUGGCGGGGAUGAGCUGAACACUUGUGCAAUAGUAUUAUUCUUAUCGCGUGCAAUGUUGUAUAAGGCUGGAUAUUGUUCUCAGAGGCUAGCAUUGCCUAGCCAGAUGUCUUCCCAAAAACGAAUCUCUGACCCGUCCUUUAUCGCGAAAGACCCAAAGCGAAAGAGAUGUUUCUUUGCCGCCAUUAGGCCAACCCAAAAGUGUGAGUCUCCAGGUUUCCAACAUACCUGAGACACUGCCUUUUGGCCUAUAUACUUAUUGCGCAGCAUGGUUUGCCAAACACCAUCCUCUGUAAGAAGUUUGAACAACCAUUUACUAAGUAGGGCCUCAUUCUUGACCUGCAGGUCAUGAAUACCGAGGCCGCCCUGGUCUUUCGGCCUACAAACCACACUCCAUUUGGUCAGCCUAUAUUUUUUCUUUUCACCAUCUCCUUGCCAAAAGAACCUGGACCUAAAAUAAUCCAAUCUAUGCAAGACCCCCUUUGGGAGCUGGAAGAACGAAAUCAUAUAGAGGACCAUAUUUGUGAGGACAGAGUUUAUUCGAACCAGUCGUCCUCCAACCGAGAGCAACUUGCCUUUCCAGCUGCCCAAGCGUUUCUCUAGUCGCUCCUCCACAUGCUUCCACUCGGCAAUGGUGAGACGCCGAUAAUGAAUUGGUAUUCCCAAAUAUUUAAUUGGGAAUUGUCCAUGUGCACAACCAAAAAGGUCGGCAUAAUCGGCCGCUGCAUCAACGGCUUCUCCAAAGCAGAACAAUUCACUUUUAUGGAAGUUAAUUUUAAGACCUGACAUUUGCUCAAACGCUGACAGCAAGAGUUUCAGGUUUCUAGCCUUGUCUAGGUCAUGUUCCAUAAAGAGAAUUGUGUCAUCGGCAUAUUGCAGAAUAGAGAGACCACCAUCCACUAGAUGUGGCACUACUCCUGUAAUCUGUCCGUCCUGCUUGGCGCGCUCAAUCAGAAUAGCCAACAUGUCAGCCACAAUGUUAAAUAGCAUUGGGGAUAUGGCAUCACCCUGUCGUAGUCCUUUUUUUGUCUGAAAGUAAUGGCCGACAUCAUCAUUGACUUUGAUGGCCACACCACCGCCAGUUACAAAAUUUUGGAUCCACUUGCACCAUUUAUCGGAGAAGCCUUUCAUCCUUAGGGCCUGUUGGAGGAAAGACCAUUUGACCUUGUCAUAGGCUUUUUCGAAGUCUAUUUUGAAUACUACCCCACUCAUGUUUUUUCGGUGCAUCUCAUGGACGGUCUCAUGCAGGAUUACUACGCCAUCGAGUAUGUUCCUUCCUUGCAUGAAAGCUGUUUGAGAUGGCCGGACAACAUGGUCAGCUACCGAGUUUAAUCUAUUCGUCGCCACUUUGGUGAAAAUCUUGAAGCUGACAUUAAGGAGGCAUAUGGGUCUGAACUGUUGAAUCCGUUCGGCCUCCUUAAUCUUCGGCAACAAGACAAUCUCGCCAAAAUUAAGUCUGAAUAGGUCAAGUCGGUCGGCAUGAAAACAAUUGAACAACUCUAAAAGGUCAGACUUGAUCAUAUCCCAGAAAUUCUGAUAGAAUUCUGCGGGGAAACCAUCAGGGCCUGGAGCUUUGUUAUGUUCCAUUUGGAACACCGCAGCUCGCACCUCCUCUUCUGAGAAUGGUGCCGUUAGGAUAUCGUUUUCUUCUGCCGUGACCUGUGGAAUAUCAUCUGUUCGGGUCUCAUCAAGGGUGAAAUUCCCUUCAGUCGGCGCUCUGAAAAGAGAUUUGUAGUAUUUGGUGAUAUACUUUUUGAGCUCCUCCUGACCUUCGAUCCUUCCCUCAUCUUGUAUGCGUAUCUACCGUGAAUAGUCAAAACGUUGUAAAAUAUGUGUUGCUUAAUGGAGGGUAUCCUUGUAGUUGGCGCUGGCAACGGUGGCAAGUGCCGCUACUGCAACAUGCCGGGUCAUUGGAUCUGGGAUUGCCGCAGGAGGAAAGCCGACGAGGCAGCCGCGGCAACGACAAACCUCGUCCAAGCUGACGUGGACGGCGGGCCGACAAUGAUGCUGGCAAGAGUCGAGCCCAUGCAGGAGAGCACAACAUCUCUCGCGACCACGAUUCCGACAACCACCCAUUCCGUGCAGGAGGCACGGAACCCGUCCACGGGAAUCAUCACUCCAGUGACAGGCCACACCUCGACAACGACGUUUUUGGGGCCUGUCGACUGGGUGGCGAUGAAGGCUCGGGUGUGGGGGCCGGAGCCACACCCCGGCGACGGCGUCCCCGAACUCGGGACCCGACGAGGUCGCACAAGUUGGCGCGGCAACGACGCGUAUGGCGGACCAUGCUCCGACCAUGAUGCUGGCGACCAUCGACUCCGUGCAGGAGCGCACGGAGACUCAGGUCAACCACACCACAACAACAAAGUGUUCGGGGUCCAUCGUAUUGACGGGAGUUGGCUCCCUGACAACGGCAUGUGCGUGCGGCUACGUCUUCCUCAACGAGGAGAGAGCCGUGACCACACCCACGCUUGCAGGCGGCAAGCAAAGUGAGGGUUGUUCCUCGACACCGGCGCCACGAACCACAUGACUGGUUCGGUCGACGCGUUCAUGGAGCUGGACCGCUCAAUCACUGGGAAGGUGCGGUUCGCGGACGGACCCAUGGUGGAGAUCCACGGGUGCGGGACCGUCGUCUUCGCCGACAAAGGAGGUGAUCAUAGGGCGUUCACGGACAUCUACUUCAUCCCGGCUCUCAAGAGAAGCGUCGUGAGUGUUGGACAACUCGACGAGGGCUGGUUCGACAUCGACAUCUGGCGCGGUGUUCUCACCGUGCACGACCAGCAGAAGAGGCUGCUCAUCGAGGUAACCCGCUCGGCAAACCGCCUCUACAAGCUCUUCUUUCGACCCGUGCGUCCUGUGUGCCUUGCCGUGGGCCAUGUCUCCGACGCAUGGCGUUGGCAUGCCCGGCUAGGACACCAGCACUUCGAUGGGUUGCGGAAGAUGGCGCGAGGAUACCUCGUUCAUGGGCUACCUCACAUCGAGCACGCCGACGAGCUGUGUGAUGCGUGUCUUGCCGGGAAGCAGCGGCGCCUACCCUUUACUGAGAAGGCACGCUAUCGGGCGCAGAAACCCCUGGAGCUGGUUCACGGGGACCUCUGCGGCCCAAUCACCCCGGCAACGCCAGGAGGGCGUCGCUACAUCCUGCUGCUCGUCGACGACUAUAGCAGGUUCAUGUGGGUGCUGCUCCUCGCCUCCAAGGAUGAGGCGGAGCAAGCCAUCGUCAAGCAGCAAGCGGCAGCAGAGGUCGAGUAUGGCCACAAGCUGCGCGUGCUGCGCACGGACCGUGGCGGCGAGUUCACGUCAGCCACGUUCUACAAGCACUACGAUGAGAACGGGGUGCAACGUCACCUCACAGCCCCUUACUCGCCGCAGCAGAAUGGCGUCGUCGAGCGGAGGAACCAGACGGUGUUCGGGAUGGCAUGCUGCAUGCUCAAGGCAAAGCAGGUGCCGAGCACGUAUUGGGGGGAGGACGUGCUCACGGCCGUCUUCAUCCUCAACCGCUCCUUCACAACGAGCAUCGACGGCAAGACACCUUAUGAGGCAUGGUAUGGGAGGAAGCCCAAUGUAUGCUUCCUCCGCACCUUUGGCUGCGUCGGGCAUGUCAAGACGGCGUGCCCACAGCUGAAGAAGCUCAACGACAAGAGCACCUCGAUGGUGUUCAUGGGCUACGAGACGGGCUCUAAGGCGUACAAGAUGUACGACCCCGUCUCAAAGCGUGUGCAUGUCUCGCGCUAUGUCAUCUUCGACGAAGACGCGCGAUGGACUUGGGAGGCGUCGGGGGAGGCCCCGGCAAGCAGCUCCUUCAUCGUGGAGUACCCGAUGUACUCUAGGACCCCGGGAAGCAAGACCCUGGGAAGUGCCACCCCGGGAAGCCCGAGAGGUGUGGAUCCGGGAACCGCAACCCCGAGAACACCGUCCCUGGGUACGGUGUCCCCGGACAACCCGACGUCAAGCAAGGUGGGUCCCGGGAGGCAGUUCGCAACCCUGCUAACGGCGAGGUCGGAGCUGUUCGACGCCGCUGACAGCGUUGGCACCCCCCACAGGUUUCGGCGCAUGGGGGAUCUCCUCGGCGAGGCUGCGGCAACACCGCAACAGCCCGAGGAAGAGGACGUUGAUGACGACGACGUCUUGCAUCUGAUGGCCGGUGAGGAGCCGACCACAUUCGCGGAGGCCGAGCAAAAGAUUGUUGGCGCCACGCAAUGCUGGACGAGCUGGCAUCGAUCAACGACAACGCCACUUGGACACUCAUCACACUGCCUGCUGGGCACCGAGCCAUCGGGCUCAAGUGGGUGUUCAAGGUCAAGAAGGACGAGCACGGCGCCAUUGUCAAGCACAAGGCAUGCCUCGUCGCAAAGGGCUACGUGCAGCGUGAGGGAGUGGACUUCGAGGAAGUCUUCGCUCCGGUGGCAAGGCUGGAGUCCGUGCGACUCAUCCUUUCCGUGGCUGCUCACCGCGGGUGGGAGGUACACCACAUGGACGUCAAGUCAGCGUUUCUCAAUGGCGACCUUAAUGAGGAGGUGUACGUCUCCCAGACUCCAGGGUUCGUUGCCAAGAACGACGAGCAGGGCGUGUACAGGAUACACAAGGCCCUGUAUGGUCUCCGGCAAGCCCCAAGGGCGUGGAACACCAAGCUUGAUGCAAGCCUCGCAUCCCUUGGGUUCUCACGCAGCGUUUCUGAGCACGACGUGUACUCGCGUGGCACCACGAACACGCUCCCCAUCGUCGGCAUCUACGUCGACGACCUAGUCAUCGCUGGGGCAGAGCCCGAAGAGGUUCGACGCUUCAAGGGAGAGAUGCAUCGUCUCUUCAAUAGCGACCUCGGGCUGCUCCGGUACUACCUCAGUCUAGAGGUAAACCAGGAGGGUGGUCGCAUCACGAUCACGCAGACGGCCUACGCCACCAAGAUGCUCGAGUGAGCAGGCAUGAAGGACUGCUAUGUUGUGCAUGCUCCAAUGGAGGCACGGCUGAAGCUCAGCAAGGAUAGCUCCGAGAAGGCGGUGGAUGCUACAUUCUACCGCAACAUCAUCGGGAGCCUCAGGUACCUCGUGCACACCCGACCGAACAUCACGUUCGUUGUCGGGUACCUGAGUAGAUUUAUGGAAGCCCCGGCAAGCGAUCACCUCGCUGCCGUUAAGCACCUGCUCCGGUACAUCGCAGGUACACUCACGCAUGGAUGCGUGUAUCGUCGUGGCGACGACGAGAGCUUGGUCAGAUACAGCGUCUCCGACCAUGCUUGUGACGUGGACUCCUGGAAGAGCACCUCGGGCAUACUGUUCCUUCUCGAGAAUAGUCCAGUCAGCUGGCAAUCGGUGAGGCAGGAGGUUGUCGCUGCAUCUUCGUGUGAGGCGGAGUACAUAGCGGCAGCUACAGCAGCCUGUCAAGGCAUUUGGCUUGCUCGCCUUCUUGGCGAGAUGCUGAAUCAGAACACCGCCCCUGCGCUCAUCUUCAUCGACAACAAGUCGGCAAUUUCGCUCUGCAAGAAUCCAGUGCUUCAUGACCGCAGCAAGCACAUCGAUGAUCUGCGCUAUCACUUCAUACGUGACUGCGUCGAGAAAGGCACGGUGAUCGUGGAGUUCAUCAGGACUGGUGAGCAGAAGGCGGACAUCCUGACCAAGUCACUUGGUCGCGUCCAGUUCCAAGAACUGCGCGACAAAGUCGGGCUCAUGGAUAUCAAGCUCCUUCGACAAGGUUGAGGGGGAGAUUGUUGGGUCAACCAUAGUCUUCGGUUGCAUGCUCGCAACAGCAGUAGCUUCCUUGGCUUGAAAGGAAGUGGUAUUCACCUAGUAGUUUCCUGGUAGUUCACUUAGCAUUGCAGGGAAGUUGACUAGUAGCAGACUAGAGCUGUGCAUGCAAUUACGUAGUAGCUUCCUAGUAGUUUCUAGAAAUAUGCUUUGCAGGGUAGUGGUAGCAGUCCCGUGAGUGGCAUGCAAGGACGUAGGUAAUUUCGUGUGUGUGUGUGUGUGCAUUGUGCACGACCAGCCCUAUAAAAGGACCCCGGUCCUUCAGUUGUAAUAAGGCCAUUUUCAUUUCUAUCCAGCCAAGCCUCAAGUGUAGUACUACUACAUAUGCGUGUGUGUGUGCAAAACAGCACUUGCAAGUGUGCUUUGCCAUUCUGCUUGUUGCUUCGGUAGUAUACUUGAGUGCAAGUAGUAGUAGGCUAGUACCACACAGCCGUUGCCCUGUGUAGUUCAUCUCAUCCUUGACUUCGUCCGAUCCUGAGUAGCCAGCUACUCUGUACGUAGUUCGGGCUGACAAUUGGCACCAGAGCCUCAGGUUAUGCCGAAGCAUAUGCCGAAAGGAGGCGUUGCCGACGAUGGUUCCAAGACCGCCGAGCAAAGCUCGACUGAGGACACCCGUGCGGCGGACGCGCUCGCGCUGUGAGGCAGGCCGGGAGGUGAGCUGGGUGCGCCACGCUCCGUGCGAGACGUGGGCAUGUCCAGUACCUCCUUCCCUCUCCUCACGCGGACCAACUAUCCCAGUUGGUCCGUCCUGAUGAAAGUCAUCAUGGAGGCGCGACAUAUGUGGGAAGCUGUGGAAACCGGCAAUGUCGAGUACGAGGAGGACCGGCUGGCGAUGGAGGCGAUCUUGCGCUCCGUCCCAGAGGAGAUGGUGCUCACCCUUGGCGCCAAGGAGACGGCCAAGGAAGCAUGGGACACCAUCAAGACUCUGCGCAUCGGCGUGGAGCGCGUACGGGAGUCGAAGGCCCGGACCUUGUGCCUCCAGUACGAGGAGAUCUGGUUCAAGGCCGGUGAACAAGUCGACUACUUCGCCUUGCGGCUGCAAGAGGUCUCGUCAACGAGCUCGCAAUGCUCGGAGAUCACAUCGACAACAAGAUGGUGAUUCUCAAGUUCCUCCGCAUCGUCCCCAGGCAGUACAAGCAACUGGCCUGGUCCAAUGAGAGUUUGGUGGAUCUCUCCACCAUGACGAUCGAGGAGCUGGUAGGGCGGCUGAAGGUCGUCGAGGAGCGCUGCGACGAAGCCGACAACCGUGCUGGCGGCGAACUAUACUGCUCACCAAGGAGCAGUGGGACGCACAGCUUCAGCAGCGCGGCCGCGACGGCUCUUCCGGCAGUGGGGGAGGCGCCCCCACGGGAAGCAGAGGUCGCGGCAGAGGCGGAGGCCGCGCCCAGAGCGGCCGCAGCAACCGUGGGCGCAAGCCAAGCCAGGCAGGGUGAGGCGCUGGCAAUGGUGGCAAGUGCCACUACUUCAACAUGCCGGGUCGCUGGAUCCGGGAUUGCCGCAGGAGGAAAGCCGACGAGGCAGCCGCGACAACGACAAACCUCGUCCAAGCUGACGUGGACGGCGGGCCGGCAAUGAUGCUGGCAAGAGUUGAGCCCGUGCAGGAGAGCACAACAUCUCUCGCGACCACGACUCCGAUAACCACCCAUUCCAUGCAGGAGGCACGGAACCCCUCCACGGGAACCAUCACUCCAGUGACAGGCCACACCUCGACAACGACGUUUUUGGGGCCUGUUGACUAGGAGGCGAUGAAGGCUCGGGUGUGGGGGAGCCACACCCCGGCGACGGUGUCCCCGAACUCGGGACCCGACGAGGUCGCAAGUUGGCGCGGCAACGACGCAUAUGGCGGACCAUGCUCCGACCAUGAUGCUGGUGACCAUCGACUCCGUGCAGGAGCGCACGGAGACUCAGGUCAGCCACACCCCGACAACAAAGUGUUCGGGGUUCAUCGUGUUGACGGGAGUUGGCUCCCUGACAACGGCAUUUUUGUGCGGCUACGUCUUCCUCAACGAGGAGAGAGCCGUGACCACACCCACGCUUGCAGGCGGCAAGCAAAGUGAGGGUUGGUUCCUCGACACCGGCGCCACGAACCACAUGACUGGUUCGGUCGACGCGUUCAUGGAGCUGCACCGCUCAAUCACUGGGAAGGUGCGGUUCGCGGACGGAUCCGUGGUGGAGAUCCACGGGCGCGGGACCGUCGUCUUCGUCAACAAAGGAGGUGAUCAUAGGGCGUUCACGGACGUCUACUUCAUCCCGGCUCUCAAGAGCAGCGUCGUGAGUGUUGGACAGCUCGACGAGGGCUGGUUCGACAUUGACAUCCGGCGCGGUGUAAUCACCGUGCACGACCAGCAGAAGAGGCUGCUCAUCGAGGUAACCUGCUCGGCAAACCGCCUCUACAAGCUCUUCUUUCGACCCGUGCAUCCUGUGUGCCUUGCCGUGGGCCAUGUCUCCGACGCGUGACGUUGGCAUGCCCGGCUAGGACACCAGCACUUCGACGGGUUGCGGAAGAUGGCGUGAGGAAACCUCGUUCAUGGGCUACCUCACAUCGAGCACCCCGAUGAGCUGUGUGAUGCGUGUCUUGCCGGGAAGCAGCGGCGCCUGCCCUUUAUUGAGAAGGCAGGCUAUCGGGUGCAGAAACCCCUGGAGCUGGUUCACGGGUACCUCUGCGGUCCAAUCACCCCGGCAACGCGAGGAGGGUGUCGCUACAUCCUGCUGCUCGUCGACGACUAUAGCAGGUUCGUGUGGGUGCUGCUCCUCGCCUCCAAGGAUGAGGCGGAGCAAGCCAUCGUCAAGCAGCAAGCGGCAGCAGAGGUCGAGUGUGGCCACAAGUUGCGUGUGCUGCGCACGGACCAUGGUGGUGAGUUCACGUCGGCCACGUUCUACAAGCACUAUGACGAGAAAGGGGUGCAACGUCACCUCACAGCCCCUUACUCGCCGCAGCAGAAUGGCGUCGUCAAGCGGAGGAACCAGACGGUGCUCGGGAUGGCACGCUGCAUGCUCAAGACAAAGCAGGUGCCAAGCACUUAUUGGGGGGAGGCCGUGCUCACGGCCGUCUUCAUCCUCAACCGCUCCUUCACAAGGAGCGUCGAUGGCAAGACGCCUUAUGAGGCGUGGUAUGGGAGGAAGCCCAAUGUAUGCUUCCUUCGCACCUUUGGCUGCAUCGGGCAUGUCAAGACGGCGCGUCCACAGCUAAAGAAGCUCGACGACAGGAGCACCCUGAUGGUGUUCAUGGGCUACGAGACGGGCUCUAAGGCGUACAAGAUGUACGACCCAGUCUCAAAGCGUGUGCAUGUCUCGCGCGACGUCAUCUUCGACGAAGACGCGCGAUGGAGUUGGGAGGCGUCGGGGGAGGCCCCGACAAGCAGCUCCUUCAUCGUGGAGUACCCGAUGUACUCUAGGACCCCGGGAAGCAAGACCCCGGGAAGUGCCACCCCGGGAAGCCCGGGAGGUGUGGAUCCGGGAACCGCAACCCCGAGAACACCGUCCCCGGGUACGGUGUCCCCAGACAACCCGACGUCAAGCAAGGUGGGUCCCGGGAGGCAGUUCGCAACCCUGCCAACAGCGAGGUCGGAGCUGUUCGACGCCGACGACAGCGUUGGUGCCCCCCACAAGUUUCGGCGCAUGGGGGAUCUCCUCGGCGAGGCUGCGGCAACACCGCAACAGCCCGAGGAAGAGGACGUUGAUGACGACGACGUCUUGCAUCUGAUGGCCGGUGAGGAGCCGACCACAUUCGCAGAGGCCGAGCAAGAGGAUUGUUGGUGCCACACGAUGCUGGACGAGCUGGCAUCGAUCAACGACAACGCCACUUGGACACUCACCACACUGCGUGCUGGGCACCGAGCCAACGGGCUCAAGUGGGUGUUCAAGGUCAAGAAGGACGAGCACGGCGCCAUUGUCAAGCACAAGGCAUGCCUCAUCGCAAAGGGCUACGUGCAGCGUGAGGGAGUGGACUUCGAGGAAGUCUUCGCUCCGGUUGCAAGGCUGGAGUCCGUGCGACUCAUCCUUUCCAUGGCUGCUCACCGCGGGUGGGAGGUACACCACAUGGACGUCAAGUCAGCGUUUCUCAACGGCGACCUUAACGAGGAGGUGUACGUCUCCCAGCCUCCAGGGUUCGUUGCCAAGAACCACGAGCUGGGCAUGUACAGGCUACACAAGGCCCUGUAUGGUCUCUGGCAAGUCCCAAGGGCGUGGAACACCAAGCUUGAUGCAAGCCUCGCAUCCCUUGGGUUCUCACGCAGCGUUUCUGAGCACGGCGUGUACUCGCGUGGCACCGAGAACACGCUGCUCAUCGUCGGCAUCUACGUCGACGACCUGGUCAUCACCGGGCAGAGCCCGAUGAGGUUCGACGCUUCAAGGGAGAGAUGCAUCGUCUCUUCAACAUGAGCGACCUCGGGCUGCUCCGGUACUACCUCGGUCUAGAGGUAAACCAGGAGGGUGGUCGCAUCACGAUCACGCAGACGGCCUACGCCACCAAGAUGCUCGAGCGAGCAGGCAUGAAGGACUGCUAUGUUGUGCAUGCUCCAAUGGAGGCACGGCUGAAGCUCAGCAAGGAUAGCUCCGAGAAGGCGGUGGAUGCUACACUCUACCGCAGCAUCAUCAGGAGCCUCAGGUACCUCGUGCACACCCGACCGGACAUCACGUUCGUUGUCGGGUACCUGAGUAAAUUCAUGGAAGCCCCGGCAAGCGAUCACCUCGCUGCCGUUAAGCACCUGCUCCGGUACAUCGCAGGUACACUCAUGCAUGGAUGCGUGUAUCGUCGUGGCGACGACGAGAGCUUGGUCGGAUACAGCGACUCCGACCAUGCUGGUGACGUGGAAUCUCAGAAGAGCACCUCGGGCAUACUGUUCCUUCUCGGGAAUAGUCCAGUCAGUUGGCAAUCGGCGAGGCAGAAGGUUGUCGCUGCAUCUUCGUGUGAGGCGGAGUACAUAGCGGGAGCUACAGCGGCCUGUCAAGGCAUUUGGCUUGCUCGCCUUCUUGGCGAGAUGCUGAAUCAGAACACCGCCCCUGCGCUCAUCUUCAUCGACAACAAGUCGGCGAUUUCGCUCUGCAAGAAUCCAGUGCUUCAUGACCACAACAAGCACAUCGAUCUGCGCUAUCACUUCAUACGUGACUGCGUCGAGAAAGGCACGGUGAUCGUGGAGUUCAUCAGGACUGGUGAGCAGAAGGCGGACAUCCUGACCAAGUCACUUGGUCGCGUCCAGUUCCAAGAACUGCGCGGCAAAGUCAGGCUCAUGGAUAUCAAGCUCCUUCGACAAGGUCGAGGGGGAGAUUGUUGGGUCAACCAUAGUCUUCGGUUGCAUGCACGCAGCAGCAGUAGCUUCCUUGGCUUGAAAGGAAGUGGUAUUCACCUAGUAGUUUCCUGGUAGUUCACUUAGCAUUGCAGGGAAGUUGACUAGUAGCAGACUAGAGCUGUGCAUGCAAUUACGUAGUAGCUUCCUAGUAGUUUCUAGAAAUAUGCUUUGCAGGGUAGGGGUAGCAGUCCCGUGAGUGGCAUGCAAGUUUUUUUUAGAAAAGGAGGAUGAUCCCCGGCCUCUGCAUCUGGGCGAUGCAUACGGCCACUUUAUUAAUUAUUCUCACAAGACCAUACAAAGUAAUACAACAGUAAGACUAAAGCCGCCGUCUAAGCAUCUCUAUCCAGCUGAUGAAGGGGCGCAGAUAGCCUGGGCCUAAUACCAAAUAGACAUCGCAGUCAAACCUAACAUCUAAGACCUGAGAACCCAUCCAGGACGCCUGCCGGGCAUGGGUCUCACCGGUCCGGCGUGCACUCAGAUGCCGCCGCCGCCAACUGCCACCGCUCCAUCUUCAGAACUGUACUGAUGCAUCAACCUUGCUCGGUCUAGCUAUCGUCGACGCCACCAUGGCGCCAAACGGCACCUCCUCCCUGCAUGCAAACAGUUGUGCACGUCGCGGUCGCCACUGAUACACCUCAGCGCCAUGCUGCCAGGUAUCACCAGCCGACACAGCUUGAAGUCCUUGGAAGAUCUGUCGUGCGUAGCACCUGCCGACCAGGCAUGACAAAGCGUAGCACCUGUCGGUCAGGCAUGACUUGACAUCACCCCCGAAGCUCCGUGCAAGACGAAGCCGCUCCACCUCCUGCCUCUGACAUCCAGCGCUGCUCCGCAAACGAUGCUCCCAAGAGAGAAAAGACACCGCACUGCCGCCAUCGUCCGAUCUGGAACACCAGAUCCUAGGGUUUCCCCCGGAGCAGCACGAGUGGGUCGACAAUAGUUACACGACGAUGCCUUCAUCAAGGUAACGGCGAGAACGCCGCCAUCGCCUACCAUCGGCUCGGUUUUCACCGGCAACCAUGUCUCCCCAACUCGCAGCCGGGACAAGAUGAUGGAUCUCGAGAUCCGAUCACCAAGCCUCUGGUCGCCCAUCUCAGGAAGAAGAUGACCACCACGUCCAGCAGUCUCACCACGCCGGGCACGUGUCGCCGCCGGCACCCCCAUGGUGCCUAGAGGCCGACAAGCCCCGACGAAUCCCAUGCCUCGCCAGCCGCCAUGGCCCGGACCCCGGCACCACCAGAUCCAGAUCGAAUCGGGGUCCAGGGCCCCAUGCCGCAACCGCCGCGGAGGCAGCACCACUGGACGGUGCCUAGCCCUCCAGCACCACUGUGAGUGGCAUGCAAGUACGUAGGUAAUUUCGCGUGUGUGUGUGCAUUGUGCACGACCAGCCCUAUAAAAGGACCCCGGUCCUUCAGUUGUAAUAAGGCCAUUUUCAUUUCUAUCCAGCCAAGCCUCAAGUGUAGUACUACUACAUAUGCGUGUGUGUGUGCAAAGCAGCACUUGCAAGUGUGCUUUGCCAUUCUGCUUGUUGCUUCGGUAGUAUACUUGAGUGCAAGUAGUAGUAGGCUAGUACCACACAGCCGCUGCCCUGUGUAGUUCAUCUCAUCCUUGACUUCGUCCGAUCCUGAGUAGCCAGCUACUCUGUACGUAGUUCGGGCUGACAAUUGGCACCAGAGUCUCAGGUUAUGCCGAAGCAUAUGCCGAAAGGAGGCGUUGCCGACGAUGGUUUCAAGACCGCCGAGCAAAGCUCGACUGAGGACACCCGUGCGGCGGACGCGCUCGCGCUGUGAGGCAGGCCGGGAGGUGAGCUGGGUGCGCCACGCUCCGUGCGAGACGUGGGCAUGUCCAGUACCUCCUUCCCUCUCCUCACGCGGACCAACUAUCCCAGUUGGUCCGUCCUGAUGAAAGUCAUCAUGGAGGCGCGACAUAUGUGGGAAGCUGUGGAAACCGGCAAUGUCGAGUACGAGGAGGACCGGCUGGCGAUGGAGGCGAUCUUGCGCUCCGUCCCAGAGGAGAUGGUGCUCACCCUUGGCGCCAAGGAGACGGCCAAGGAAGCAUGGGACACCAUCAAGACUCUGCGCAUCGGCGUGGAGCGCGUACGGGAGUCGAAGGCCCGGACCUUGUGCCUCCAGUACGAGGAGAUCUGGUUCAAGGCCGGUGAACAAGUCGA
rnacentral:lncRNA from 1 species